CGCAGCUGCAGCGCGCCGCCAAAGCCCCAGCUCCGCAGCCCUGUGGCGCCUCCCUACCCCAAAUAAAGGGCCAUGCAUUUUCCCGAGCCGGUGGGCGCUCCAGAGGGGUUUCUCUGCCGCUGGCAUGGCACGGCCCAAUUCCCUUGGAAUCUGCCGGCUACGGCUACAUUUACCUAGGCGCCCAACUGUUCCCAAACAAGAUGGACCUUAGGCGCAACUUCGCCGGCGUUAGCAGGAGGACCAGAAUCCUCCGCCUCUCUGCGCCAUUUGUGUCUUGUGGGCACAAUCAGGGAGGUCGGAGGUGGAAGAGGAAGGGAGAGGAGUUCAGUUGGCAGUGGUCUCCCCAAGAAUCGGCAUCAACCUCAGAGGGAUCUGUGAGAUACCUGCCCAGACGUCACUUGGAGAAGAAUGAAACUCUUAACCCCCUGGCAAUGAACGUAGUUAAGAGGACAGAGAUAUCCGUAGUCUUAGGCAGUGAGUGCUGGACCUGUGGCAGCCACCACGCGGGAUGCCGGGCAGGCUGCCGCCGCCGCUGCUCACAUCGACUUGCAGGUGCUGGUGGGAUCUCCAGGAAUAACUUCUAAAAGUCUCUUCUCCAUAAGAAGUUAAGACACCAAGUCCCAAGUAGUGCUGGGCUCCUGGAACUUAAUCACCACUUCAGGAUUUGGGGAGUGUGCAACACAGCUAAGACCGUGACCCAGCACCUGCCUUGGCAUAAGCUCAGAAGGCAUUAGAAUUGGUGGUGGAAAAUUCCAAGGGCAGAAUCAUCCAGCUUUUUCCAUCACAAGACCACUUUCGGUGAUGAAGCGAAAUGAAGCCAUAAAUGACUGGAAAGGAAAUUACUCUUCCUCUUUGUUGAGUCUGCCAGUCAAGUGGAGAGGAAAUUAGGUCAGCUGGAGAAGGAAAAGAGGCAAGGAUCUGAAAAUCUCAAAGAUCUCUUGACCUUUAAAAACACCAGCGGCAUGAAGAGCUCACUGUUGGAGGCAUUAGAGUUGGUUCAAUUUCCAGCACAGAAGGAGAAUUCAAAAUUGUAGGUUGGAUUAAAGCAUUCCUUCUUUA